rnacentral:rRNA from 1 species
CUGCCCAGUGAAUCUUCAACGGCCGCGGUACCCUAACCGUGCAAAGGUAGCAUAAUCAUUUGCCUUUUAAUUGUAGGCUAGUAUGAACGGAUAAACGAAAUUCUAACUGUAUCAUUUUUAUAAACUAAAAAUUAGACUUCAGGUGAAGAUACCUGAAUUAUAUUGAAAGACAAGAAGACCCUAUAGAGUUUUAGUAAUAAUUCAUAAUCAAAAAAAAAUUUUACUUUGGUUGGGGCGACCUAGGAUUAUAUAAAACAUCCUUUUUCCAUAAGAAUAAUUUUUCUCCUUCAAUGAUCCUGAUUUACCAGAUUUCUAAACUUAACUACCUUAGGGAUAACAGGCUUAUCUUCCUAAAGAGUCCAAAUUGACAGGAAGGUCUGGCACCUCGAUGUUGGCUUAGAGUAACCUAUUAAUGCAAAAGUUAAAUAAGGUCGGUUUGUUCAACCGUUAAACCUCU